rnacentral:rRNA from 1 species
UACGAGGGGGGCAAGCGUUGUUCGGAAUUAUUGGGCGUAAAGAGCUUGUAGGCGGUUUGUCGCGUCUGCUGUGAAAAUCCGGGGCUCAACCCCGGACUUGCAGUGGGUACGGGCAGACUAGAGUGUGGUAGGGGAGACUGGAAUUCCUGGUGUAGCGGUGAAAUGCGCAGAUAUCAGGAGGAACACCGAUGGCGAAGGCAGGUCUCUGGGCUGACACUGACGCUCAUGCACGAAAGCGUGGGGAGCAAACAGG